rnacentral:rRNA from 1 species
GAUGAACGCUGACAGAAUGCUUAACACAUGCAAGUCAAGGUGGCGAACGGGUGAGUAACACGUGACCAACCCGCCCCCCCCACCGGGACAACCUCGGGAAACCGAGGCUAAUACCGGAUAGGAGGGGACGGGGUCGCGGCCCAUCAGGUAGACGGCGGGGCGAAGGCCCGCCGUGCCGACGACGGGUAGCCGGGCUGAGAGGCCGAUCGGCCACAUUGGGACGGAGACACGGCCCAGACUCCUACGGGAGGCAGCAGUGGGGAAUAUUGCGCAAUGGGGGAAACCCUGACGCAGCGACGCCGCGUGCGGGAAGGAGGCCUUCGGGUCGUAAACCGCUUUCAGCAGGGAAGCGGUACCUGCAGAAGAAGCCCCGGCUAACUACGUGCCAGCAGCCGCGGUAAUUC